AUAGUGCAAUACAUGGUAAAGAUAAAAAUCAUCUUCUGAAAUGAGAAUUAUGCUGUUCUGGUUUUUAAUAGUUACAAAGACCACCUAGGAUUUCUCAAGGUUUCCCUGUGCACAUGGAUUACUGCAAUCAUUGGAGUAUACACCUAAGUAAGGAAAAAAAAAAGCUGGUUUCCAUGCCAGCGUGGUUCUUGUAUCAUAAGAAAGGAGAAGGGAGGAAACUCUUACCCCAUGAAGCCACAGUUUUGUCGAGAAAAGGAAGCUGUUCUUCUGCUCCCCAUGAAAAAUGCAAUGAAGCACCAACAGGUGGAGACUGGAGGAUCAGGAAUGCACAGUGAAGCCAACACCACAAAGUACUAGAGUGCUGGACAUAAAUAUUCAAGCCCUGAGAUUCCUCCAAGAAGUCUCGAAAAGGCUCCAUUUAUUACACAGUUCACAUGACUCAACACCGAGGGGAAGCUGCCCAGCUCUGUGGCUCAUUUAGUACUACAUAACCUAAGGCAUUUUUGGACAAGUCAUCUUCUUGGUCGGCAUACAUACAGAUGUCUGAAGCUCAGCUCCCUGACUGCAAGGGUUAAUGAACAGCAGGAACUGAGAAAUUACAGGCAAAAAGAUGCAAACCAUGUGUAAUUGCAUCCAUAAAAUGCAAACAGGCAAUGUUUGAUUCACCAGAAAGUCUCCCAGCUUCAAAUGAACCAUCAACAUCUUCUGAAUAAAAUUUGAACUUGCAGAGCAGGAGUAGACCAGUCUGGCAACACUGGUUCUGAUUCUGCUCUGGGAGGUUUAAAGCCUAUCACCAGAUUACAG